rnacentral:tRNA from 1 species
ACACCGUUGGUGAAGUGGUUAUCAUGCUUGCCUUCCAUUGGGAUAGCAAGCGGCUCGGGUUCGAUUCCCGAACGGUGUA